rnacentral:ncRNA from 1 species
ACGCUUGAGUAAUAACAUGUGACACAUUACGUGACACUUGAGUAAUAACAUGUGACACAUUACGUGACACUUGAGUAAUAACAUGUGACACAUUACGUGACACUUGAGUAAUAACAUGUGACACAUUACGUGACACUUGAGUAAUAACAUGUGACACAUUACGUGACACUUGAAUAAUAACAUGUGACACAUCCUUGCCGUGAUCGUAUAGUGGUUAUGAAAAAAGGGUAAGGGUGCGCCCCUUGUUGAUCGAAAUGAAAUAAUAUGGAUCGGAGCGCACGCGGAGCCAUGAGACAGCCCCACCCUCCGAGACAACUCGUGUAAACAGGCCCUAAGCCUUUUUGUCAUUAACACUCUUUCACAGAUUCGCCGGGUUUGACAUCAUCUCAGUCGCUAAUAAAUUCUUGGAUUUACGAAAGACGAACUACUGCGAAAGCAUUUGCCAAGAAUGUUUUCAUUAAUCAAGAACGAAAGUUAGAGGAUCGAAGACGAUCAGAUACCGUCCUAGUUCUAACCAUAAACGAUGCCGACUAGGGAUCAGAGAGUGUUAUUGGAUGACCUCUUUGGCACCUUAUGGGAA